rnacentral:tRNA from 1 species
GCGAGGGUGGCGGAACUGGCAGACGCGCUAGACUUAGGAUCUAGUAUGGUGACAUGUGGGGGUUCGAUUCCCCCCUCUCGCA